CAAGUAAGUACAUGAGCAUAUCAAUCAAUUUAAGAGUAUUUCAGGUAUUUUUAGCAUAUACUCAUCCUAUCUCUCCCCCUUUUUGAUAGUAUCAAAAAGCUUAUGGGAAAGAAUUUAAAAUGAAUCAUCAAAAUCAAUAAGAAUAUAUCAAAAUCAGAGAUGUAUUAAAUUCAAAUCAAUUCAAAUGAAUUAUCUCUCCUUUAAAGAAACUUAUCUUUUGAUUCAAAAUAUGCUUAAAAUAUAUUUUCUUUUUCAAAAAUCAACUUGAAUUCACAUACCAAUGUCUCUCCCUC
rnacentral:lncRNA from 1 species